rnacentral:rRNA from 1 species
GAUGAACGCUGGCGGCGUGCCUAAUACAUGCAAGUCGAGCGAACGGACGAGAAGCUUGCUUCUCUGAUGUUAGCGGCGGACGGGUGAGUAACACGUGGAUAACCUACCUAUAAGACUGGGAUAACUUCGGGAAACCGGAGCUAAUACCGGAUAAUAUUUUGGACCGCAUGGUUCAAAAGUGAAAGACGGCCUUGCUGUCACUUAUAGAUGGAUCCGCGCUGCAUUAGCUAGUUGGUACGGUAACGGCUUACCAAGGCAACGAUGCAUAGCCGACCUGAGAGGGUGGUCGGCCACACGGGAACUGAGACACGGUCCAGACUCCUACGGGAGGCAGCAGUAGGGAAUCUUCCGCAAUGGGCGAAAGCCUGACGGAGCAACGCCGCGUGAGUGAUGAAGGUCUUCGGAUCGUAAAACUCUGUUAUUAGGGAAGAACAUAUGUGUAAGUAACUGUGCACAUCUUGACGGUACCUAAUCAGAAAGCCACGGCUAACUACGUG